GUGUGUGUGUGUGUGUGUGUGUGUGUGUGUGUGUGUGUGUGUGUGUGUGUGUGUGUGUGUGAAAGAGAGAGGUGAAAAGCAUUCCCAGGAGUCUCGUUACCUCAAAGGUCUCAGAGAUUGUUUAGCGGUCAGGGUUAAGGUGAAGGGUUCAGCAUCAGCAGACUGGGAAAAUAAGCACUUGCAUUCGAAAAUCACAGUUCCGUCAGAUGAAUCACGUUGUAGAAACCUGGUGUGAGAAAAUGCAGGUUCUUCAAAGUAGCCACCUUUUGCUUUGAUUACUGCUUUGCACACUCUUGGCAUUGAUGAGCUUCAAGAGGUCGUCACCUGAAAUGGUCUUCCAACAGUCUUGAAGGAGUUCCCAGAGAUGCUUAGCACUUGUUGGUCCUUUUGCCUUCAUUCUGCGGUCCAGCUCCAAACCAUCUUGAUUGGGUUCAGGUCUGGUGACUGUGGAGGCCAGGUCAUCUGGCGCAGCACCCCAUCACUCUCCUUCAUGGUCAAAUAGCCCUUACACAGCCUGGAGGUGUGUUUGGGGUCAUUGUCCUGUUGAA